rnacentral:rRNA from 1 species
UGCAGUCGACGGUAGGCUCCAGCUUGCUGGGGUACACGAGUGGCGAACGGGUGAGUAACACGUGGGUGACCUGCCCUGCACUUCGGGAUAAGCCUGGGAAACUGGGUCUAAUACCGGAUAGGACUGCACCGUGAGGGUGUGGUGGAAAGUUUUUUCGGUGUGGGAUGGGCCCGCGGCCUAUCAGCUUGUUGGUGGGGUAAUGGCCUACCAAGGCGGCGACGGGUAGCCGGCCUGAGAGGGUGGACGGCCACAUUGGGACUGAGACACGGCCCAGACUCCUACGGGAGGCAGCAGUGGGGAAUAUUGCACAAUGGGCGGAAGCCUGAUGCAGCGACGCCGCGUGGGGGAUGACGGCCUUCGGGUUGUAAACUCCUUUCACCAUCGACGAAGGGUUUCUGACGGUAGAUGGAGAAGAAGCACCGGCUAACUACGUGCCAGCAGCCGCGGUAAUACGUAGGGUGCGAGCGUUGUCCGGAAUUACUGGGCGUAAAGAGCUCGUAGGUGGUUUGUCGCGUCGUCUGUGAAAUUCCGGGGCUUAACUCCGGGCGUGCAGGCGAUACGGGCAUAACUUGAGUACUGUAGGGGAGACUGGAAUUCCUGGUGUAGCGGUGAAAUGCGCAGAUAUCACGAGGAACACCGGUGGCGAAAGGCGGGUCUCUGGGCAGUAACUGACGCUGAGGAGCGAAAGCAUGGGGAGCGAACAGGAUUAGAUACCCUGGUAGUC